AGUGAACGCUGGCGGUAGGCCUAACACAUGCCAGUCGAACGGCAGCACAGUAAGAGCUUGCUCUUACGGGUGGCGAGUGGCGGACGGGUGAGGAAUACAUCGGAAUCUACUUUUUCGUGGGGGAUAACGUAGGGAAACUUACGCUAAUACCGCAUACGACCUACGGGUGAAAGCAGGGGAUCUUCGGACCUUGCGCGAUUGAAUUAGCCGAUGUCGGAUUAGCUAGUUGGCGGGGUAAAGGCCCACCAAGGCGACGAUCCGUAGCUGGUCUGAGAGGAUGAUCAGCCACACUGGAACUGAGACACGGUCCAGACUCCUACGGGAGGCAGCAGUGGGGAAUAUUGGGCAAUGGGCGCAAGCCUGAUCCAGCAAUACCGCGUGGGUGAAGAAGGUCUUCGGGUUGUAAAGCCCUGUUGUUGGGAAAGAAAAGCAGCAGGUUAAUACCCCGCUGUUCUGACGGUACCCAAAGAAUAAGCACCGGCUAACUUCGUG
rnacentral:rRNA from 1 species